AAACGCAAAAAAACUGACCCAGCAACGCCGCGUGAAGGAUGAAAUCCCUCGGGAUGUAAACUUCGCAAGAACGGGAAGAAUAAGCGAGAGUAAAUACCUUUCGCGAUGACGGUACCGUUUGUAAGCUCCGGCUAACUCCGUGCCAGCAGCCGCGGUAAUACGGGGGGAGCAAGCGUUGUUCGGAUUUACUGGGCGUAAAGGGCGCGUAGGCGGCCUCCGCAAGUCAGUUGUGAAAUCUCCGAGCUUAACUCGGAAAGGUCAACUGAUACUGCGGGGCUAGAGUGCGGAAGGGGCAACUGGAAUUCUCGGUGUAGCGGUGAAAUGCGUAGAUAUCGAGAGGAACACCUGCGGCGAAGGCGGGUUGCUGGGCCGACACUGACGCUGAGGCGCGAAAGCUAGGGGAGCGAACGGGAUUAGAUACCCCGGUAGUCCUAGCCUUAAACGAUGAAUGCUUGGUGUCUGGGGUUAUAUAGUCCCCGGGUGCCGUCGCUAACGCUUUAAAAACUCAAACGAAGGAAACCCAUGGCAAG
rnacentral:rRNA from 1 species